rnacentral:rRNA from 1 species
UAGACACGUAGUUUGAUCAGUGGCUACGAGGACGAACGGCUGGCGGCGCGCCUAACACAUGCAAGUCGAACGAGCGAGAGAGAGCUUGCUUUCUCGAGCGAGUGGCGAACGGGUGAGUAACGCGUGAGGAACCUGCCUCAAAGAGGGGGACAACAGUUGGAAACGACUGCUAAUACCGCAUAAGCCCACGGCUCGGCAUCGAGCAGAGGGAAAAGGAGUGAUCCGCUUUGAGAUGGCCUCGCGUCCGAUUAGCUAGUUGGUGAGGUAACGGCCCACCAAGGCAACGAUCGGUAGCCGGACUGAGAGGUUGAACGGCCACAUUGGGACUGAGACACGGCCCAGACUCCUACGGGAGGCAGCAGUGGGGAAUAUUGCACAAUGGGGGAAACCCUGAUGCAGCGACGCCGCGUGGAGGAAGAAGGUCUUCGGAUUGUAAACUCCUGUUGUUGAGGAAGAUAAUGACGGUACUCAACAAGGAAGUGACGGCUAACUACGUG